GUCCCAGAAGUUCCUAAGAAGAAAACUGAGAUACCUGUCAUUAAAAAGGAGGAGAAACAUGUGCCUGAACCACCAAAAGAACCUAAGCCGGCAGCUAUUUCAGUUCCUGGGCCUGAACCUAAACCUGCCGUAGCUUUAAAAUCUCCAAAGCCAGCUGCAGAACCAGCACCAGCUAUUACUACUGCACCAGUGACAACACCUGUUGUUGGAAAGAAAGCA
rnacentral:lncRNA from 1 species